GGAAAGUGAGUAAACCCAGUUGUGGGCAAGGGUAUGGAGGAGUAGGAACUUUCAGGAAUUCCUAAUGCACAGAACUAUGGCUGCACUGAAUGAAUUAGGCAUGCUUGUGGCAUGUCAGUGCUCUAGAAUCUCUUGCAGUGUUUUGCUUCACAGGCUGAGGAAGUGACUACUUUGAAGGGGACAACAGUUGAUUGGCUAGCUAUCUGAGAAGAUAAACUUGAAAAGUCAUUGUACAAGAAAGAAUGUGUCUGUGACAACCCCAGGAAGAUCAAUCAGGACAUUCAUAUUCAUGAGACAUAAAGGCCUAUGGAGAAUCCAAAUAAAUUUUUCACUAUGCAUAAAAUUA